rnacentral:hammerhead_ribozyme from 1 species
AUCCAGCUGACAAGUCCGAAAUAGGACGAAAUGCGCAUCCUGGAU